rnacentral:rRNA from 1 species
CUAUGUGUUGUUGGGUAGGGGAGCGUUCUGUAAGCCUGCGAAGGUGUACUGUGAGGUAUGCUGGAGGUAUCAGAAGUGCGAAUGCUGACAUAAGUAACGAUAAAGCGGGUGAAAAGCCCGCUCGCCGGAAGACCAAGGGUUCCUGUCCAACGUUAAUCGGGGCAGGGUGAGUCGACCCCUAAGGCGAGGCCGAAAGGCGUAGUCGAUGGGAAACAGGUUAAUAUUCCUGUACUUGGUGUUACUGCGAAGGGGGGACGGAGAAGGCUAUGUUGGCCGGGCGACGGUUGUCCCGGUUUAAGCGUGUAGGCUGGUUUUCCAGGCAAAUCCGGAAAAUCAAGGCUGAGGCGUGAUGACGAGGCACUACGGUGCUGAAGCAACAAAUGCCCUGCUUCCAGGAAAAGCCUCUAAGCAUCAGGUAACAUCAAAUCGUACCCCAAACCGACACAGGUGGUCAGGUAGAGAAUACCAAGGCGCUUGAGAGAACUCGGGUGAAGGAACUAGGCAAAAUGGUGCCGUAACUUCGGGAGAAGGCACGCUGAUAUGUAGGUGAAGUCCCUCGCGGAUGGAGCUGAAAUCAGUCGAAGAUACCAGCUGGCUGCAACUGUUUAUUAAAAACACAGCACUGUGCAAACACGAAAGUGGACGUAUACGGUGUGACGCCUGCCCGGUGCCGGAAGGUUAAUUGAUGGGGUUAGCGGUAACGCGAAGCUCUUGAUCGAAGCCCCGGUAAACGGCGGCCGUAACUAUAACGGUCCUAAGGUAGCGAAAUUCCUUGUCGGGUAAGUUCCGACCUGCACGAAUGGCGUAAUGAUGGCCAGGCUGUCUCCACCCGAGACUCAGUGAAAUUGAACUCGCUGUGAAGAUGCAGUGUACCCGCGGCAAGACGGAAAGACCCCGUGAACCUUUACUAUAGCUUGACACUGAACAUUGAGCCUUGAUGUGUAGGAUAGGUGGGAGGCUUUGAAGUGUGGACGCCAGUCUGCAUGGAGCCGACCUUGAAAUACCACCCUUUAAUGUUUGAUGUUCUAACGUUGGCCCCUGAUCGGGGUUGCGGACAGUGUCUGGUGGGUAGUUUGACUGGGGCGGUCUCCUCCUAAAGAGUAACGGAGGAGCACGAAGGUUGGCUAAUCCUGGUCGGACAUCAGGAGGUUAGUGCAAUGGCAUAAGCCAGCUUGACUGCGAGCGUGACGGCGCGAGCAGGUGCGAAAGCAGGUCAUAGUGAUCCGGUGGUUCUGAAUGGAAGGGCCAUCGCUCAACGGAUAAAAGGUACUCCGGGGAUAACAGGCUGAUACCGCCCAAGAGUUCAUAUCGACGGCGGUGUUUGGCACCUCGAUGUCGGCUCAUCACAUCCUGGGGCUGAAGUAGGUCCCAAGGGUAUGGCUGUUCGCCAUUUAAAGUGGUACGCGAGCUGGGUUUAGAACGUCGUGAGACAGUUCGGUCCCUAUCUGCCGUGGGCGCUGGAGAACUGAGGGGGGCUGCUCCUAGUACGAGAGGACCGGAGUGGACGCAUCACUGGUGUUCGGGUUGUCAUGCCAAUGGCACUGCCCGGUAGCUAAAUGCGGAAGAGAUAAGUGCUGAAAGCAUCUAAGCACGAAACUUGCCCCGAGAUGAG